rnacentral:tRNA from 1 species
GGACGGUUAGCUCAGUUGGCUAGAGCGUCUCGUUUACACCGAGAAGGUCGUAGGUUCGAGUCCUACACCGUCCACCA